AUCCUUUGCAGUUCCUAAGCAUGAUGAUCUGGUUUUCACAUGGCCUGUGUGAGACGUGUCUCCCUCAAACCUUGUUACAACAUGGGCACAUUACCUGUCUAUCU